rnacentral:rRNA from 1 species
UACGUAGGGGGCGAGCGUUGUCCGGAUUUAUUGGGCGUAAAGAGCUCGUAGGUGGCUUGUCACGUCGGUUGUGAAAACCUGCAGCUUAACUGUGGGCGUGCAGCCGAUACGGGCGGGCUAGAGGCAGGUAGGGGAGAGUGGAACUCCUGGUGUAGCGGUGAAAUGCGCAGAUAUCAGGAAGAACACCGGUGGCGAAGGCGGCUCUCUGGACCUGUUCUGACGCUGAGGAGCGAAAGCGUGGGGAGCGAACAGG